GCGAAAGUGACGGUACCUGCAGAAGAAGCACCGGCUAACUAUGUGCCAGCAGCCGCGGUAAUACAUAGGGUGCAAGCGUUGUCCGGAAUUAUUGGGCGUAAAGAGCUCGUAGGUGGUUCGUCACGUCGGAUGUGAAACUCUGGGGCUUAACCCCAGACCUGCAUUCGAUACGGGCGAGCUUGAGUAUGGUAGGGGAGUCUGGAAUUCCUGGUGUAGCGGUGGAAUGCGCAGAUAUCAGGAGGAACACCAAUGGCGAAGGCAGGACUCUGGGCCAUUACUGACACUGAGGAGCGAAAGCGUGGGGAGCGAACAGGAUUAGAUACCCUGGUAGUCCACGCCGUAAACGGUGGGCACUARUUGUGGGGACCUUCCACGGUCUCUGCGACGCAGCUAACGCAUUAAGUGCCCCGCCUGGGGAGUACGAUCGCAAGAUUAAAACUC
rnacentral:rRNA from 1 species